UACAGAGGUCUCAAGCGUUGUUCGGAUUCAUUGGGCGUAAAGGGUGUGUAGGUGGCGCGCUAAGUCGGGUGUGAAAUUUCGGAGCUUAACUCCGAAACUGCAUUCGAUACUGGCGUGCUUGAGGACUGGAGAGGAGACUGGAAUUUACGGUGUAGCAGUGAAAUGCGUAGAUAUCGUAAGGAAGACCAGUGGCGAAGGCGGGGUCUCUGGACAGUUCCUGACAGCUGAGACACGAAGGCCAGGGGAGCAAACGGG
rnacentral:rRNA from 1 species